CAGUGUCAUCCUAGCAGUCUUCCUGGGAGGCUGCACCUUUUCUGAGAUCUCUGCUCUCCGAUUCCUGGGGAAGGAGAAAGGAUACAAGUUUAUAUUCCUGACAACAGCCAUCACAAGCAGCGCCAGGCUGAUGGACGCCAUGUUAGAGGCGAAGGUGUGAGGCAGGGCUGAGCCACGGCCCUGGCAGAACAGCUUAUGCCAGCCAGGGUCACGUUCCGCAGUGGACACUGCCCAGGCACUGCACACAUGACACUGGAGUGCUGUACAUCAGCAGUCGGAGCAGGGCAGACAUGGAACCCAUCCUGCCAUGAGCCUCUCAGUGGGUUUCCCGAAGGCUGCAGAUUGGGGUUUAAAUGGAUGAAGAGACCUUCGGUGGGUGCGAGGGGAGUGUCUCUGGGGAGGCUGGAAGAGGGAAGAAUCUGUUGUUUCUCUAAUCCAAACCCAGGGUGUUCGAGUCUCUGUUAUGCUUUAGGCCUGUGGGGCCACUGUCCAGGCAAGUCCCUGUGCUUGGUGUAUUGGUGCUUCUAUCAUUGGGUUGUUAAGGGACCUCACUGGCCUUUUGGGUUCUUAUUUUGGGUUUUGUGCCCUGGCUCCCACCCUUGGCUCCCUUCUCGUCCCUGGACAGAUGUGUCAGUACUAGGGGCCAGGGGCGAUGCCAAGCUGUUAGCAGCACUGCUUUCUUCCCCUACCGAGGCCUGUUCACCUGGAGAUGUGAACAGGCAGAGGGAGCUGGCUUCUACUGGAGUCACAAAUGAAAAUGAAUUGCAUUGUUACCUGAAUUUUAAAUGCAUGUUCAUUCACUUCACAGAACUGCCUGUUCUGGCACCAAACACAACCAGCUCUAGUCUGGAUUGAUGGACUGACAUGGGGAAAGGAGUGGACCAGCAGGGGUGCUUAGGGGUAGGCUGGAGGUGCAGCAACAGAGGGUGUGAGUGGAGUUAGGGCUGGGAUUUGAAUAGCAUAGGAUUGCGCUGGCAGAAGUGUGUAAUAGUGGUACAUUGAUCUGUACCAUAUAAAAUAUAUUUGGGCAGCCUUUA